rnacentral:rRNA from 1 species
UACGAAGGGGGGCUAGCGUUGUUCGGAAUUACUGGGCGUAAAGCGCGCGCAGGCGGUCCUUUAAGUCAGGGGUGAAAGCCCGGAGCUCAACUCCGGAACUGCCAUUGAAACUGUGAGACUUGAGGAUGAGAGAGGUGAGUGGAAUUCCCAGUGUAGAGGUGAAAUUCGUAGAUAUCAGGAGGAACACCGGUGGUGUAAACGGCUUUCUGGACCAUAACUGACACUGAGGCACGAAAGCGUGGGUAGCAAACAGG